UACGAAGGGGGCUAGCGUUGCUCGGAAUCACUGGGCGUAAAGGGUGCGUAGGCGGGUCUUUAAGUCAGGGGUGAAAUCCUGGAGCUCAACUCCAGAACUGCCUUUGAUACUGGCGACCUUGAGUUCGGGAGAGGUGAGUGGAACUGCGAGUGUAGAGGUGAAAUUCGUAGAUAUUCGCAAGAACGCCAGUGGCGAAGGCGGCUCACUGGCCCGAUACUGACGCUGAGGUGCGAAAGCGUGGGGAGCAAACAGG
rnacentral:rRNA from 1 species